rnacentral:rRNA from 1 species
AUACGUCGGGGGCACGCGUUAUCCGGAUUUACUGGGUGUAAAGGGAGCGUAGACGGAAGGCCAAGUCUGAUGUGAAAGCCCGCGGCUCAACUGCGGGACUGCAUUGGAAACUGGUCAUCUGGAGUGCCGGAGGGGUAAGCGGAAUUCCUAGCGUAGCGGUGAAAUGCGUAGAUAUUAGGUAGAACACCGGUCGCGUAGGUGGCAUAUGGGACUGGAACUGACGUGGAGGCUCGAAAGCGUGGGGAGCAAACAGGAAUAUAUACCCUGGGAGUUCACGCCGUAAACGACGAAUACGAGGUGUAGUGUUUGUAUAGAGAGUCGGUGCCGCAACAAACGGAAACAGAACUCCACCUGGGGAAUGCGUGCGCAAGGAUGAAACUUAAAGGAGUUGACGGGG